AUGAGGUAAUGGCCAAUUCUGUUAGGAUGGAAAUUUCAAUGGCAAUAACUCAUUUAUGGUAGAGGAAAGAUAUCUGUACGCAAUACUAAGAUUGAUAUGGUAGGACAACUUCAACUGUUGAAAGAAGACUCCGAUCUGUCAAAGAACACUUUAUUUUGGAGUAUUGCAUCAUACCUUUCCUCCAAUGUUACCAAUACCUUUCCUCCAAUGUUACCAAUGACUGAGAUAAACAGCCAAAUGGAGAAAACACCCAAAGUAUCAAAAUUAGUGAAGAGGUUAUUUUUAUGAAAGAUUUGUAGUAAAACCUUUUGUACAAGCUAACAUAACUAUAACUGCAAUCUCAGAACAAGUCUGAAACGUCAUCAAAAACAAAAGAGUAUCCUUCCU
rnacentral:lncRNA from 1 species